rnacentral:rRNA from 1 species
UACGAAGGGGGCUAGCGUUGCUCGGAAUCACUGGGCGUAAAGCGCACGUAGGUGGGUCGUUAAGUCAGGGGUGAAAUCCCGGAGCUCAACUCCGGAACUGCCUUUGAUACUGGCGAUCUUGGAGUCCGGGAGAGGUGAGUGGAACUGCGAGUGUAGAGGUGAAAUUCGUAGAUAUUCGCAAGAACACCAGUGGCGAAGGCGGCUCACUGGCCCGGUACUGACGCUGAGGUGCGAAAGCGUGGGGAGCAAACAGG